GACGAGCGCUGGCGGCGUGCUUAACACAUGCAAGUCGAACGGUGAAGCGCCUUCCUUUUUGGUGGGUGUGGAUGAGUGGCGAACGGGUGAGUAACACGUGAGUAACCUGCCCCCUUCUUCUGGAUAACCGCAUGAAAGUGUGGCUAAUACGGGAUAUUCUGGGUCUGUCGCAUGAUGGGUCUGGGAAAGAUAUUGUUUCGGUGGGGGAUGGGCUCGCGGCCUAUCAGCUUGUUGGUGGGGUGAUGGCCUACCAAGGCGGUGACGGGUAGCCGGCCUGAGAGGGUGGACGGUCACACUGGGACUGAGACACGGCCCAGACUCCUACGGGAGGCAGCAGUGGGGAAUAUUGCACAAUGGGCGCAAGCCUGAUGCAGCGACGCCGCGUGAGGGAUGGAGGCCUUCGGGUUGUGAACCUCUUUCGCCAGUGAAGCAGGCCUGCCUCGUUUGUGGGUGGGUUGACGGUAGCUGGAUAAGAAGCGCCGGCUAACUACGCG
rnacentral:rRNA from 1 species